rnacentral:rRNA from 1 species
CCUACGGGAGGCAGCAGUGGGGAAUAUUGGACAAUGGGGGGAACCCUGAUCCAGCGACGCCGCGUGAGUGAAGAAGGACUUCGGUAUGUAAAGCUCUAUCAGCAGGGAAGAAAAUGCCGGUACCUGACUAUGAAGGUCCGGCUAAAUACGUGCCAGCAGCCGCGGGAAUACGUAGGGGGCAAGCGUUAUCCGGAUUUACUGGGUGAAAAGGGAGCGUAGACGGUGCAGCAAGUCUGAUGUGAAAGGUCGGGGCCCAACCCUGGGGUUGCAUUGGAAACUGGUGAACUGGAGUACAGGAGAGGUAAGCGGAAUUCCUAGUGUAGCGGUGAAAUGCGUAGAUAUUAGGAGGAACACCAGUGGCGAAGGCGGUCUGCUGGACAGCAACUGACGCUGAGGCGCGAAAGCGUGGGGAGCAAACAGGAUUAGAUACCCCAGUAGUC